GGUCUGUUUUUCAUCUCCUGUCUGCUGGCAUUAGUUUCCAUCAGCAACUCAUUGGUUGAAAAAAAUUACCUGAAAAUAAUUCAAGAAUACUAUGAAGGUGGAUUGGAGGAUGCAGCUGACAAGAAGAAAGAUUUUGAGAACCUGCUGAAAGUCGCCUCACGGCGUUUUGAAGAAGAUCUUGAGAAGUUUUAUCCAAUGUUGGAUCAAGUGAAGGCGGCGACAUCCAGCACUUCAAGGCAUAAAGAACUCUCGGGUGCCAUCACAGAUAUCCUGUUAAAAAAAAAGAAAGAUUUUGCAAAAGGCAAAAGGGCACAUCAACAGGAAAUUGAG